GGAUCCUCACGCCACCCAGUUGAGUUAUGGAUCCGGGCCGGAUAACACCACUGACUAUGCUGUCAAACCGAAUCUUGUGUGAUCCACCGGCAACCGUAACAUUGAAGUCGCAGGAGGCGGGGAGUGUCACCUCAACGGCGCCCCCAUGGUUCACGUACGACUUCACACCCUGAGGCAGGAGAGCCCGCGGGAAGUUGUUUUUCUCCAAAAGGUCGUACGCUGUGUCGGAGGUGGCUGCUUGGAGGACAGAAGCCAGGAAGACGAUGAGGAGCAGAUGCCGGAUGGCCAUGUCUAGCUAACUGUUGCUGCUUACAAAUUGUAUCAAGGAAUAUGAGGAACUAGGAAGUAUGUGUAGACUGAGGCCCUGGCCACGUAUUAUAUAUGCUGCCCAACGAAAUCAAAGUCAAUCGUACUUUAAUUGCAUUUAUUUUGUUCCUGAUUAUCACUCCAUCAACCACCACAUCAAAUAUGCUAAAAAUAUCAUCCCAUUAAAUCAUAUUUAUUUCUGGCCUAGAACAUUCUAUAGUUAAUGGUUAUGCCAAAACGUUCCUCAAAUAUUCAUAAUCAAUACGUACCAUAAAAUGAGACUGAAAUUUCAGAGCAACAUUCAUUUACGUACUUCACAGCCGACAUAUGAAACAUAUGCAAAAACCUAAAAAUGAAUCAAGGGGAAACAUCAACAUCCAAACAGUUUGAUCCUUGAUGUUGGCUUGGGUACCAAUGAGGCUUCUCUUCUCUUCAAAUAAUGUUGUGCAGUGCAACUAAAACAUAAAACACCCGCAAGAAAGAAAUAUUUCAUUUAGAUAUACUUGAGUUUUACAUGAGUAUGCGGUGCAAUAGAAUGAUUAUCUCCCAUUGUGCAGAUCAUCUCUUUCAGGAUGCCUACUCAGGCCAGCACAGACUCAUACAUAACAUCUCCGUGAAAGUUUCCACAAUGUUAUAGCAUGAACUCCCAGACCGUGAGAGAGGCUCAGUACCCAUAUCCAAAAUGAAGAGUGCGGAGGAGCAGGUGCCUACCCCUCCACCUUCCACUUCUCUUAAAAUUUUCCUGUGCAAUGCAACUCAACUAAAAAACAACUCCAAGCAAUAUAUUCAAUUUAUAUCUUGUUGGGUUAUGAUACGUCUCCAACGUAUUUAUAUAUUUUUUAUUGUUCCAUGCUAUUAUAAUUGUUGGGUCAUGAGCCGAAAGCAAGCCAUCGAACAUGCCAAUGUUGGAUUGGAUGAGAUUGUCGACCGCCUGAAGGAGGUUCUCAUCGUGAUCCUUGAAGAGCCGGUCCAGACCUACGGUGAAAUACGCUCGUUGAAGCGCGUACACGCCACACCUUUCCUUGGACGGCUUGUCCAUCGCCUCCGCUCACGGCCGAUCACGCCACCGCAUCCCGUGAUGGUGUCGCGGCAACUCCAGGACCACUUAAUCUUAUACCAAUUGUGAGCAACUCACCUGAUCGAGAGGAAUUGCUAGGGAUUAGAAUUCGAAAUUGCGGAAAUUGGUUUCUUAGCUAGACGUCCGUCCACCCUCACAGCUACACUACACCGCAUGUUGUCAUCAUCCAAAUCCCAGCCAGGAGAUAGGAGAGAAGUAUAAUGCCUACUAGCUUAGCCCGCGCGGCGACACGCCGCGCCCAUCGAUCAGUCGCGACUAUGUAGACUAUGGUCCAAGCAAUAGAGUAAUAAGUAGUUAUGAUGAAAUUUGUUGCAUAACUUGAGGCUUUUUAGCAAAUUCUUUUGUUCACAACAAUUUAUAGACACAAAUAUCUAUCUUUCGUGGAAACUUUUAGUUUAUUUUGUACAUAGCAAGGGUCUGUCCACCAAGUUGAAACAAAUACACAACAUGACCAAAAGUAAGGAACUUCAGAACAGUGCUUUCGUAGCUAAAAUUUAAUAAUUUUUCACAUUUCAUAACAUAAAUACUUAACUAAAACUUACAUCUGAUCUGAAGUACAACCAUUGAGACAGUAAAAAAACCACUAUUUUGAUCAUCAGAAAAAAAUUAAUGUGCAUUUCAUGGAAAAAGUUUAGAGACAAAAUAAUUUAGCCAAGAGAAAAACUAUUUCAGAUCACAAAAGGCGCUCCAAAGAGUAAUUGUGUAUAUUAUUCAAAAGAACACUUUGUUACCUUCAGGCUUUAAUUAGCCCCAUUGUAUCUUGUGGAAUCAUGCAGUGAUACAAAUUCUUACCAUAAACAAAAAAAUUAAGCAGCUCUUAAUAUAGAAACAACCAUAUCACUCUGAAUCAAGGGAGCAUGAUGCGAUGAACUGAUGACGGGGAAUCUAUGGUAGCAUAUACCCAGGAAACAGUGUUCAUGGAAACUUUGUUAAACAACCCCUUGCUCAGCUUAAAAGUAUUCCUUCCUGGGUCUCCACUGAAACAAAGCAAUAUUUAUACACCCACAGGUGAGAACAAUAUGAGAUUGUUCGAUAUAAAACCAACAAUGCUUGAACAUACUUGUUUCUCUACCUCACCAUGUGGCAACCAGAAAAAGCUUUAACAAUUUAAAAACCACUUGCAAAUUGAAGUUGAGAGCCUUCACUUAUUUCUCGAAAUGGAAGGAGGAAGGGGCCUUAAUUUGUCCCAGUAACCCCAUGAAUAUAAUUAGCCAAAUAUGUGGCAUUUCAUCUUAUUACAUGGUCAUGCUGAAGGAGGGAACAUCAAUAAAAUUAGGCAUAAGAAAUCCAUCAAAUGAAGAGAGAUGUACUUAGAAAUAAGAAUAACAAACAUUCUCAGAUACUAUGUACCUUAUCCUGCCUCUAAGAAUAUGUCAAGAAGGUGAAUCAUUCACUUUUAUGUUACCGUUGCUGACAACGGACAACUGUGGAUGGAAACAAAAUUCUCAGCAAUGCAUAUAUGAAACUAAGUAACAUGACUUAGAAAAUAUAAUGUAAAAUAUCACAAUAAACUACUACUAAGUAUGUUCAAUAGUAAUACAACCUCAGUUUGUACCCCAGAAAUUUCUAUCACCAAAACAUCUUAGAAGGUUCAGUGCUAGUGAUGUGCCUGCCAUAAGACCGAAUGCCAAUUUCUAGUUAAAAAAUAACCGCGCAAGACCAUAUUCCUCUACCGCAAAGGGUAUAUGAUCAAGUGGGGCCAACUAAAGACAGGCCCCACGAUUCCAUUUUUUAAUGUAUGUUGUUGUAUAAUGAAUGACGCGCUUGUAUGCUUACGUGACUAUUUGGUUUUUGAUGUGAUGGAAAUUGGAGGGAAAGAUGCUGGACGGACUAAUUUGAUCAAUCGGGUGAGUAGAAGUAUUAGAGUUUUGGCCAUCUCAUCCAUUAAAUUUGGAUGGAGGGUAUGCAUCUUAAUAUGAUAAACAUAUAUGCAUACCGUAUAUGGGUUAUAUACAUAUAAAAAUCAGUGCAGCAGGCAUUUUUUCUGAAUCUAAACAUCUUGGUGGCCGAGUUCCAGUGUGAAAAUAUUGGUUUUAGUCCCUGGUCAAAUGGACUGAUGCAUAUUAUGUUUGGUUGUACCACGAAAAAUAAUUUGGUUGCUUUAAGACAUUCAACCGAGGUAGACGAUGCAAUUUUGGCUGACAUGAAGUUUUACGAUCAUCAAUAUAGCAGAAUAUGCAAAAGAUGGGAUAAAGCAAGUCAUAUCUACUCCCUCAGUCCCAUAAUAUAAGAGCGUUUUUGACACGAUGGAGGGAGUAGUUUGUUUAUUUGUUUGAGGAACACUUAUUUGCUUGGAGAAUAAUGAAGUGUGCUUGCACCGGUGCACAUGAGAUGAACUUGAACAAACGAUCUGCAUUCAUAUAUGCAUUGUACCAGAAAUCAGUGCUGCUCUAACUUGCCUCUGCAUUGCCUCUGAACCAGUGCUGAUCUAUAUCGGAGAUCAGGAAUUUACUCAUCAGGUCACUGCAUCUACUUUAUUGCGAUUAAACCACCAAACUCAAAGAAAUACCUGCAAUUUAUUUAAUAGUCUUAUUUGAUUUUUUAUUCAGAAUGCGUUGAGCUAUUUCUUUUGCCGAGCUACAUUCUUGUACAUUGGAUUCUCAAGGAGCAUCACUUGCGAGACAUAUCUUCACAUACUACCAUUUCAGAACACCACUCCCUUCACGCACAGGACAUACAUGUUCUACAUCCACCCCUCACACUCCUAAUUUCAAAACCGAGUUGGCAGGUUAUUGUAAGGCAGGUAAGCAACCUUCUAGAUGGAAUGUUGGAAUUUACUCUGGCAAGGUAGGUCUUAAACAUAUUAUCAUCUGGCUAUCUACUGUUUGAGCUCCCCAUGCUGCUAACACCAUCAAAUAUUGUUUGCUCCGGACAUCUUCAUAUGCCAAUUUGACCUUCUUUUUGGCAGACACAGUAUCUCAGAACAUCUAAAUUGACUCCUUGCACAGGUCUCUGAAUUGACACAAUCAGAAGGAUAAAACAAUCGCUAGAGCUCUUAUAGGAAGUCAGCCAUCAUUUUACUUAGACUAAAGAAGGUGUCUAUCACAAAAAAGGAAAAAAAAGUAAGUGCGAAGAAACACAUGUAGGGUUGCACAUAAUUUGUAAGAGAUGAUCAAGGCAUAUAGUUGCAGCAAGUAGCAAAUGGCAUGAAUUUAUUCAUGAUGCACUCACGCAUCAAGGGUGUAAAUCUUCUUUAGCUAGGUCCAAAUGCAGAUAGAUACAGUACAUGAAUGAUGUGUGAUAUGUCAUUGUAGGUUUCAGACCUGAUGAAAAGUUUAUUACAGUACACGAAAAAUAUUCAUGAAACGGUUAUACAGUACAGGAAUGAUGAGAAAUCGGAAAUUUCUGUACAGGAAUGAUGUAUAAUAAAUUGCUGAGAGGAAUAAAGAAGAUGCAGAAUGUCUGAAACUUCUCAAAACUGGAAACAAUUAUACAAAAGCUACCUGACAGAGUAUACGGCUAGGAAUCUGCCUAAUUCAGUGUCUCUUAUAAUCCACCAACGACUACGGCGUAAUCACCAUCAUUGCGGCUCAACCAGAAUUCGAUCGAAUAAUGAGGCAAAUAAAGCAGCUAAUAUGGGGUAAAUGCACACUAACUUGGCAGCAAGAACAGAUGGGUCAUAAGCGCCUUCAGUGACCCUACGACCUGCAAAUGGCAGUAUACAGACAGUGCGCCUUUACUCUGAAUAACCGAGAAGGAGCUAUCUUUAUCCUCUUUUUUUGCGGGGGAGCUGUCUUUAUCCUCCACUCAAGCUAGAUAUACUUACAAAGUUAGAGUUGUAUAAAGUUUUGAAGCGUAGCGCUGUGAAUGGAUCACUCGUCCAGCAGCCUCCUGACACAUAAAAUAGGCAGAGCGAGCAUUACAAGGUCCCAUAACUCGGGGUCAGGCUAGUCGAACACGAUGACGCGCACCACCGUGCGCCACGCCGACGCCAGGUAGUAGAGCGCGGGCCUCUCGCACUGGUUGUGCGCUAGGGGCUUCAUGUUGAACGCGCGCGCCUUGUAGUCAGCGGGCCAGUACCAGUUCAAGAACGUCCACGCCGGCAUCUGCAUCUCCCGCGCCAGCACAACGCCCUCGGCACCGUCACCACGAACCCCCACGCCACUGACACCGUCCACCGGUUCGCCGCGAUGUAGCAUAUCAACUGGUGCAUCACCCCCGUCGAACAGCCUCCGCAGAGACGCCGGGCGCGAACGCAUGUUGGGGAUAAGCGGUCGAGGUGGUGCAGCGAGUCAGCGACACCAGCGGUGCCACCUGGUGGGCGGCGAGGAGGCCCAGGAGGUCACCAUACACGCCUUACUCGUGGAAGCCCGAGUGUCGGCACACCCACAUCCGCCAUGCCCCAUGCACGAUGUAGUAGGGGACGGCGAGGAGGUUGUCCGGGAGGAAGACCGUGUUGUCGACUUGUCGUCACCCAUGACGAACCAGCUACACCUGGGAGACUGAGGCGGAAGGUCUCGGAGAUGACAGUCGACGUGUGAGAUGCAUGCGGAUGGCAGAGCGAUGACCGUGCGUGUAGGAGAAACCGGAGGUAUCCGGUAAGAUCUUGAUGUAUAUGCACUCCUUCCGCUUCUCCAACAGGCGCGCCAACGCCGUGAAGCCGAACACUGUAGCGUAAUCGUCGUUGUCGACACCGUGGCUGUGGCAGGUUGCGGUGGUGGUGGCGUACUCGUCGUCAACACCACCGUAUCUGUGGAGGGUGGUGGUGGCAUCCUCGCCGUCGACACCACCGUGACCGUGGCGGGCAUCAGCAGGGGCCUCGCCAGCGGCAACGUGACUAAUCAGGAGGAUAGCGUUGUGGGCGGCUUCUUCUGGGUGGAGGCAGCCGGGCGCUGCCACGCUGGGCAAGAUGCUAUGUGCGAAGAAGAGCCCUUUUAUAGGCCAGUACGGCGGUGAAUGGGUGGCUGGGUUAUGCACCGCACUGGAGCAGAGUUUUCGGGAGCGUCUAGAACACACGGCUGGACAACAGCGGCAGUAACAAAAAGGUACAUAUCGAUUGGGCCAGAAGCGGUCACGACAGAAAUACAGAGAAGCAUCGAUGUGUCUGGAAAGGGACAUAUCGAUUGGGCCAGAAGCGGCCGCGACAGAAAUACAGAGAAGCAUCGAUGUGUCAACCAACCGAUCGCCACACCCGUUGAAGAAAUUUGAAUCAAAAAACUGAACACACCACUCAUUUCUACCCUGCCGUGUACCAAAAAAAUACCACGCGCCAUACCCACAACUCACCAUAGGUCACUUUCAUCCAAUUGGUUUAAUCUCAAAGCGAAAACCUUGCCUGCAAUAGAGGCUUGGGUAUUUAAACUAGUGAUCGCUAACAUAGUAGAAGGGCGUGCUCAUAGUCCAUCAACCAUCGCGGUGGGUUGAUCUCGAACCUAGGCUGCGGUUAGAGCAUAAAAAUUGUAUGCGAUAUUGAGUCCAUCACACAAAGUUAGAACAUACAAACUAUGUGCAAUAGGAAGGGUCCAUCACACACGGUUAUAAUUAAAAAUCGUGUGCUCGGAUGGGUUGGCGAUUGGGGUGCCAAUACACACGCUUUCAAAAAGGUGUGCGAUGAAUGGGCUCGACUAGGUCUAACAUAAGUGCUACAUUAUACAAUUAUUAAUUUUUUACAAGCAAACAUAGCACCAGACAUAAUUCACAAUUGGACAACCCAUCGCACACUCUACGAUAUUUUGUUCUGCCAUUUCUCUACUAAUGGACAAAAGGCACUCGGCUUACAUCGGUAUGCCAACAUGAUGUACCUUGAGUGCGUUACGCUGAGUGUCAAANNNNNNNNNNGCGAUAUUGAGUCCAUCACACAAAGUUAGAACAUACAAACUAUGUGCAAUAGGAAGGGUCCAUCACACACGGUUAUAAUUAAAAAUCGUGUGCUCGGAUGGGUUGGCGAUUGGGGUGCCAAUACACACGCUUUCAAAACGGUGUGCGAUGAAUGGGCUCGACUAGGUCUAACAUAAGUGCUACAUUAUACAAUUAUUCAUUUUUUACAAGCAAACAUAGCACCAGACAUAAUUCACAAUUGGACAACCCAUCGCACACUCUACGAUAUUUUGUUCUGCCAUUUCUCUACUAAUGGACAAAAGGCACUCGGCUUACAUCGGUAUGCCAACAUGAUGUACCUUGAGUGCGUUACGCUGAGUGUCAAACCCGCCGAGGCAAAAUCAGCCUUUGCUAGGGGGUCUGCACACCCAAUGGCGGAGCUAUGUUGGNNNNNNNNNNNNNNNNNNNNNNNNNNNNNNNNNNNNNNNNNNNNNNNNNNNNNNNNNNNNNNNNNNNNNNNNNNNNNNNNNNNNNNNNNNNNNNNNNNNNNNNNNNNNNNNNNNNNNNNNNNNNNNNNNNNNNNNNNNNNNNNNNNNNNNNNNNNNNNNNNNNNNNNNNNNNNNNNNNNNNNNNNNNNNNNNNNNNNNNNNNNNNNNNNNNNNNNNNNNNNNNNNNNNNNNNNNNNNNNNNNNNNNNUCUUGUAGUGGAGAAUUUUCAACGUAUGAUGUAAAAUAGCCGUUGUGUCAAAAGAAUUGACAGUUAGGUCACUUUGGGCCAAAAAAAAGUAUCCAAAAGAUGCCCUAUAUACCUAUAUGUUGCAAAAGAAAAUUACCCAAAAUUUUGUCACACACAUCUAGUAGCUGCAUUGAAACCAAAAACAAUGCAGCAGGAACCCAACCACUAGCGAUGAGACUACCCCACCGCCGACAGUCGCCACCCCACACCUACUUUGACCGACUGUGCAGCGCAUGCUGCCGCCGUGACUCAAUCGGCCGUUCUCAGCCCCGCUACCACCCUGCCGCUUGGGAUGUCCGCUACCAAAUCUUGGGCCGGCGCAUCCGAUUCCACCGACUCUGGCCAUAGAAAGUUGGUGUAGCUACCGGGACAUCCCCCUUCAGUAUUUUGGCUAAUUUUGAACUUUUUGUCCGGAUCACAAGAAAAUGUUAGUAUCGUCCAUGUUGCUGAAGGGGAAUUACUACUUGGGGAUUUGCUCACUGAAUAUUGGAAUAUACUUACUUUAUGCAUGCCAUCAAAUAUAGCUCAUCCCCUGAAAGAACAAAGAUUGCUGAUGUUUUUUUCCAUGGUUUUCUAAAACAAUGUUGAUCUUUUUCAGAGAAAUGCAAUGAUUAUUUUUAGAGAACAUUCUGCAAAUCAACUAAAUAAGAGUCUAGGCAUUCUUCUUGUUUUUUUCGGGGGGAAGGUGUCUAGGCAUUUAUUAACAUGUAGAACUUACAAUGCAUGGGGAAUGAAAGAUCAAAUAUACCUUGCUCUCCUUUCUUAUUUUAGUGGCUGUUAAUGUCAUCAUAAAGAAUAUUACACAUUAGGAUUGAGUUGUUUUGCUCUUCUAUUUUCCAGUAAGCCCUGCGAUAUUUUACAACCCAUCGGACACCCUUGUCGAUCUGAUGCUAUGUAGAUCAAGAUUAUUUCUAAUUACCUGCGAGACACCGACAAAGUAUAUCAUGUGGAAUUUCUUGUUCCUGUGGUUAGGAGGCUGGGCAAAAAAUAUAUAUGAUCAUCACAAUAAUAUUAGGUCUUGGAACCAUGACUUAUUACAUAAUCAGUUUAUUCACUCUACAUAAAGCAGCGGACUCACAAAGACACAUGCAUAUUGGAUACUACAUUAUAUGGAAGGCGUGCAUGCAUCCGUAACCGAUCACACCCUUAGCUGCACCUGGGGCUCUGCACGAAGUUGCUAACCGGAAAUGACUGGUCGAACGUGGCUGCAUGCUCACUACCAGUAAACCUCAGCUUGUCACCGACGCGUUGAACCGUGUGGAAUGUGAGAAAAUCCCACUCAAAUUGGAUCCUCACGCCACCCAAUUGAGUUAUGGAUCCGGGCCGGAUAACACCACUGACUAUGCUGUCAAACCGAAUCUUGUGUGAUCCACCGGCAACCGUAACAUUGAAGUCGCAGGAGGCGGGGAGUGUCACCUCAACGGCGCCCCCAUGGUUCACGUACGACUUCACACCCUGAGGCAGGAGAGCCCGCGGGAAGUUGUUUAUCUCCAAAAGGUCGUACGCUGUGUCGGAGGUGGCUGCUUGGAGGACAGAAGCCAGGAAGACGAUGAGGAGCAGAUGCUGGAUGGCCAUGGCUAGCUAACUGUUGCUGCUUACAAAUUGUAUCAAGGAAUAUGAGGAACUGGGAAGUAUGUGUAGACUGAGGCCCUGGCCACGUAUUAUAUAUGCUGCCCAACGAAAUCAAAUUCAAUCGUACUUUAAUUGCAUUUAUUUUGUUCCUGAUUAUCACUCCAUCAACCACCUCAUCAAAUAUGCUAAAAAUAUCAUCCCAUUAAAUCAUAUUUAUUUCUGGCCUAGAACAUUCUAUAGUUAAUGGUUAUGCCAAAACGUUCCUCAAAUAUUCAUAAUCAAUACGUACCAUAAAAUGAGACUGAAAUUUCAGAGCAACAUUCAUUUACGUACUUCACAGCCGACAUAUGAAACAUAUGCAAAAACCUAAAAAUGAAUCAAGGGGAAACAUCAACAUCCCAACAGUUUGAUCCUUGAUGUUGGCUUGGGUACCAAUGAGGCUUCUCUUCUCUUCAAAUAAUGUUGUGCAGUGCAACUAAAACAUAAAACACCCGCAAGAAAGAAAUAUUUCAUUUAGAUAUACUUGAGUUUUACAUGAGUAUGCGGUGCAAUAGAAUGAUUAUCUCCCAUUGUACAGAUCAUCUCUUUCAGGAUGCCUACUCAGGCCAGCACAGACUCAUGCAUAACAUCUCCGUGAAAGUUUCCACAAUGUUAUAGCAUGAACUCCCAGACCAUGAGAGAGGCUCAGUACCCAUAUCCAAAAUGAAGAGUGCGGAGGAGCAGGUGCCUACCCCUCCACCUUCCACUUCUCUUAAAAUUUUCCUGUGCAAUGCAACUAAACUAAAAAACAACUCCAAGCAAUAUAUUCAAUUUAUAUCUUGUUGGGUUAUGAUACGUCUCCAACGUAUUUAUAUAUUUUUUAUUGUUCCAUGCUAUUAUAAUUGUUGGGUCAUGAGCCGAAAGCAAGCCAUCGAACAUGCCAGUGUUGGAUUGGAUGAGAUUGUCGACCGCCUGAAGGAGGUUCUCAUCGUGAUCCUUGAAGAGCCGGUCCAGACCUACGGUGAAAUAUGCUCGUUGAAGCGCGUACACGCCACACCUUUCCUCGGACGGCUUGUCCAUCGCCUCCGCUCACGGCCGAUCACGCCACCGCGUCCCGGGAUGGUGUCGCGGCAACUCCAGGACCACUUAAUCUUAUACCAAUUGUGAGCAACUCACCUGAUCGAGAGGAAUUGCUAGGGAUUAGAAUUCGAAAUUGCGGAAAUUGGUUUCUUAGCUAGACGUCCGUCCACCCUCAUAGCUACACUACACCGCAUGUUGCCAUCAUCCAAAUCCCAGCCAGGAGAUAGGAGAGAAGUAUAAUGCCUACUAGCUUAGCCCGCGCGGCGACACGCCGCGCCCAUCGAUCAGUCGCGACUAUGUAGACUAUGGUCCAAGCAUUAGAGUAAUAAGUAGUUAUGAUGAAAUUUGUUGCAUAACUUGAGGCUUUUUAGCAAAUUCUUUUGUUCACAACAAUUUAUAGACACAAAUAUCUAUCUUUCAUGGAAACUUUUAGUUUAUUUUGUACAUAGCAAGGGUCUGUCCACCAAGUUGAAACAAAUACACAACAUGACCAAAAGUAAGGAACUUCGGAACAGUGCUUUCGUAGCUAAAAUUUAAUAAUUUUUCACAUUUCAUAACAUAAAUACUUAACUAAAACUUACAUCUGAUCUGAAGUACAACCAUUGAGACAGUAAUAAAACCACUAUUUUGAUCAUCAGAAAAAAAUUAAUGUGCUUUACAUGGAAAAAGUUUAGAGACAAAAUAAUUUAGCCAAGAGAAAAACUAUUUCAGAUCACAAAAGGCGCUCCAAAGAGUAAUUGUGUAUAUUAUUCAAAAGAACACUUUGUUACCUUCAGGCUUUAAUUAGCCCCAUUGUAUCUUGUGGAAUCAUGCAGUGAUACAAAUUCUUACCAUAAACAAAAAAAUUAAGCAGCUCUUAAUAUAGAAACAACCAUAUCACUCUGAAUCAAGGGAGCAUGAUGCGAUGAACUGAUGACAGGGAAUCUAUGGUAGCAUAUACCCAGGAAACAGUGUUCAUGGAAACUUUGUUAAACAACCCCUUGCUCAGCUUAAAAGUAUUCCUUCCUGGGUCUCCACUGAAACAAAGCAAUAUUUAUACACCCACAGGUGAGAACAAUAUGAGAUUGUUUGAUAUAAAACCAACAAUGCUUGAACAUACUUGUUUCUCUACCUCACCAUGUGGCAACCAGAAAAAGCUUUAAAAAUUAAAAACCACUUGCAAAUUGAAGUUGAGAGCCUUCACUUAUUUCUCGAAAUGGAAGGAGGAAGGGGCCUUAAUUUGUCCCAGUAACCCCAUGAAUAUAAUUAGCCAAAUAUGUGGCAUUUCAUCUUAUUACAUGGUCAUGCUGAAGGAGGGAACAUCAAUAAAAUUAGGCAUAAGAAAUCCAUCAAAUGAAGAGAGAUGUACUUAGAAAUAAGAAUAACAAACAUUCUCAGAUACUAUGUACCUUAUCCUGCCUCUAAGAAUAUGUCAAGAAGGUGAAUCAUUCACUUUUAUGUUACCGUUGCUGACAACGGACAACUGUGGAUGGAAACAAAAUUCUCAGCAAUGCAUAUAUGAAACUAAGUAACAUGACUUAGAAAAUAUAAUGUAAAAUAUCACAAUAAACUACUACUAAGUAUGUUCAAUAGUAAUACAACCUCAGUUUGUACCCCAGAAAUUUCUAUCACCAAAACAUCUUAGAAGGUUCAGUGCUAGUGAUGUGCCUGCCAUAAAACCGAAUGCCAAUUUCUAGUUAAAAAAUAACCGCGCAAGACCAUAUUCCUCUACCGCCAAGGGUAUAUGAUCGAGUGGGGCCAACUAAAGACAGGCCCCACGAUUCCAUUUUUUAAUGUAUGUUGUUGUAUAAUGAAUGACGCGCUUGUAUGCUUACGUGACUAUUUGGUUUUUGAUGUGAUGGAAAUUGGAGGGAAAGAUGCUGGACGGACUAAUUUGAUCAAUCGGGUGAGUAGAAGUAUUAGAGUUUUGGCCAUCUCAUCCAUUAAAUUUGGAUGGAGGGUAUGCAUCUUAAUAUGAUAAACAUAUAUGCAUACCGUAUAUGGGUUAUAUACAUAUAAAAAUCAGUGCAGCAGGCAUUUUUUCUGAAUCUAAACAUCUUGGUGGCCGACUUCCAGUGUGAAAAUAUUGGUUUUAGUCCCUGGUCAAAUGGACUGAUGCAUAUUAUGUUUGGUUGUACCACGAAAAAUAAUUUGGUUGCUUUAAGACAUUCAACCGAGGUAGACGAUGCAAUUUUGGCUGACAUGAAGUUUUACGAUCAUCAAUAUAGCAGAAUAUGCAAAAGAUGGGAUAAAGCAAGUCAUAUCUACUCCCUCAGUCCCAUAAUAUAAGAGCGUUUUUGACACGAUGGAGGGAGUAGUUUGUUUAUUUGUUUGAGGAACACUUAUUUGCUUGGAGAAUAAUGAAGUGUGCUUGCACCGGUACACAUGAGAUGAACUUGAACAAAAGAUCUGCAUUCAUAUAUGCAUUGUACCAGAAAUCAGUGCUGCUCUAACUUGCCUCUGCAUUGCCUCUGAACCAGUGCUGAUCUAUAUCGGAGAUCAGGAAUUUACUCAUCAGGUCACUGCAUCUACUUUAUUGCGAUUAAACCACCAAACUCAAAGAAAUACCUGCAAUUUAUUUAAUAGUCUUAUUUGAUUUUUUAUUCAGAAUGCGUUGAGCUAUUUCUUUUGCCGAGCUACAUUCUUGUACAUUGGAUUCUCAAGGAGCAUCACUUGCGAGACAUAUCUUCACAUACUACCAUUUCAGAACACCACUCCCUUCACGCACAGGACAUACAUGUUCUACAUCCACCCCUCACACUCCUAAUUUCAAACCGAGUUGGCAGGUUAUUGUAAGGCAGGUAAGCAACCUUCUAGAUGGAAUGUUGGAAUUUACUCUGGCAAGGUAGGUCUUAAACAUAUUAUCAUCUGGCUAUCUACUGUUUGAGCUCCCCAUGCUGCUAACACCAUCAAAUAUUGUUUGCUCUGGACAUCUUCAUAUGCCAAUUUGACCUUCUUUUUGGCAGACACAGUAUCUCAGAACAUCUAAAUUGACUCCUUGCACAGGUCUCUGAAUUGACACAAUCAGAAGGAUAAAACAAUCGCUAGAGCUCUUAUAGGAAGUCAGCCAUCAUUUUACUUAGACUAAAGAAGGUGUCUAUCACAAAAAAGGAAAAAAAGUAAGUGCGAAGAAACACAUGUAGGGUUCCACAUAAUUUGUAAGAGAUGAUCAAGGCAUAUAGUUGCAGCAAGUAGCAAAUGGCAUGAAUUUAUUCAUGAUGCACUCACGCAUCAAGGGUGUAAAUCUUCUUUAGCUAGGUCCAAAUGCAGAUAGAUACAGUACAUGAAUGAUGUGUGAUAUGUCAUUGUAGGUUUCAGACCUGAUGAAAAGUUUAUUACAGUACACGAAAAAUAUUCAUGAAACGGUUAUACAGUACAGGAAUGAUGAGAAAUCGGAAAUUUCUGUACAGGAAUGAUUUAUAAUAAAUUGCUGAGAGGAAUAAAGAAGAUGCAGAAUGUCUAAAACUUCUCAAAACUGGAAACAAUUAUACAAAAGCUACCUGACAGAGUAUACGGCUAGGAAUCUGCCUAAUUCAGUGUCUCUUAUAAUCCACCAACGACUACGGCGUAAUCACCAUCACUGCGGCUCAACCAGAAUUCGAUCGAAUAAUGAGGCAAAUAAAGCAGCUAAUAUGGGGUAAAUGCACACUAACUUGGCAGCAAGAACAGAUGGGUCAUAAGCGCCUUCAGUGACCCUACGACCUGCAAAUGGUAGUAUACAGACAGUGCGCCUUUACUCUGAAUAACCGAGAAGGAGCUGCCUUUAUCCUAUUUUUUUGCGGGGGAGCUGUCUUUAUCCUCCACUCAAGCUAGCUAUACUUACAAAGUUAGAGUUGUAUAAAGUUUUGAAGCGUAGCACUGUGAAUGGAUCACUCGUCCAGCAGCCUCCUGACACAUAAAAUAGGCAGAGCGAGCAUUACCAGGUCCCAUAACUCGGGGUCAGGCUAGUCGAACACGAUGACGCGCACCACCGUGCGCCACGCCGACGCCAGGUAGUAGAGCGCAGGCCUCUCGCACUGGUUGUGCGCUAGGGGCUUCAUGUUGAACGCGCGCGCCUUGUAGUCAGCGGGCCAGUACCAGUUCAUGAACAUCCGAGCCGGCAUCUGCAUCUCCCGCGCCAGCAUGACGCCCUCGCCACCGUCACCACGAACCCCCACGCCACUGACACCGUCCACCGGUUCGCCGCGAUGUAGCAUAUCAACUGGUGCAUCACCCCCGUCAAACAGCCUCCGCAGAGAUGCCAGGCGCAAACGCAGCGAGUCAGUGACACCAGCGGUGCUACCUGGUGGGCGGCGAGGAGGCCCAGGAGGUCACCAUACAUGCCUUACUCGUGGAAGCCCGAGUGUCGGCACGCCCAGCUCCGCCAUGCCCCAUGCAUGAUGUAGUAGGGGAUGGCGAGGAGGUUGUCCGGGAGGAAGACCGUGUUGUCGACUUGUCGUCGCCCAUGAUGAACCAGCGUACACCUGGGAGACUGAGGCGGAAGGUCUCGGAGAUGACGGUCGACGUGUGAGAUGCAUGCGGAUGGCAGAGCGAUGACCGUGCGUGUAGGAGAAACCGGAGGUAUCCGGUAAGAUCUUGAUGUAUAUGCACUCCUUCCGCUUCUCCAACAGGCGCGCCAACGCCGCGAAGCUGAACACUGCAGUGUAAUCGUCGUUGUCGACAGCGUCGCCGUGGCAGGUUGCGGUGGUGAUGGCGUACUCGUCGUCGACACCACCGUCACUUUGGAGGGUGGUGGUGGCAUCCUCGCCGUCGACACCACCGUGACCGUGGCGGGCGUCGGCAGGGGCCUCGUCAGCGGCAACGUGACUAAUCAGGAGGAUAGUGUUGUGGGCGGCUUCUUCUGGGUGGAGGCAGCCGGGCGCUGCCACGCUGGGCAAGAUGCCAUGUAUGAAGAAGAGCCCUUUUAUAGGCCAGUACGGCGGUGAACGGGUGGCUGGGUUAUGCACCGCACUGGAGCAGAGUUUUCGGGAGCGUCUAGAACACACGGCUGGCCAACAGCGGCAGUAACAAAAAGGGACAUAUCGAUUGGGCUAGAAGCGAUCGCGACAGAAAUACAGAGAAGCAUCGAUGUGUCAGGAAAGGGACAUAUCGAUUGGGCCAGAAGCGGCCGUGACAGAAAUACGGAGAAGCAUCGAUGUGUUAGACUGGCCCACAAGCAAUGAAAAAACGCUAAGCCAACCAAGCGAUCGCCACACCCGUUGAAGAAAUUUGAAUCAAAAAACUGAACACACCACUCAUUUCUACCCUGCCGUGUACCAAAAAAAUACCACGCGCCAUACUCACAACUCACCAUAGGUCACUUUCAUCCAAUUGGUUUAAUCUCAGAGCGAAAACCUUGCCUGCAAUAGAGGCUUGGGUAUUUAAACUAGUGAUCGCUAACAUAGUAGAAAGGCGUGCUCAUAGUCCAUCAACCAUCGCGGUGGGUUGAUCUCGAACCUAGGCUGCGGUUAGAGCAUAAAAAUUGUAUGCGAUAUUGAGUCCAUCACACAAAGUUAGAACAUACAAACUAUGUGCAAUAGGAAGGGUCCAUCACACAUGGUUAUAAGUAAGGGUUAAUUAUCCUUUUGCCCUUAGUGGUGUCCAUGUGCUCAGUUUUGCCCUCAGAUGCGAAUUGUCCUCAGUUUUGCCCCUAGUCCGAGCACAGCAACUACGACGAGGCCAAACGGCCAUAUUUGAGUCCAUUCCGUCCGCCGGCGUUAGUAGUUGUGGGUCCGGAGCUUACACGUGGGACCGCGUGGACGUGGGUCCGGAGCUGACAUGUAGGCCCCUGCAACUAAAUCCCCAAAUCAUUCUAGCUCACACCCAUCCGCGCGGCCGGCUGUCCUGCGCCGCCGCCGCCGCCACCUGCGCCGCGGCCAGCACCUGCCCUGCCACCAGUUGCACGGCCUGCUCCGCCGCUACCUCCCUGCGCCUACGCUCCACGGCUCAUUGUGACGCCCACCACCUUCCUGCGACGCCACGGGUGGGGCGCCCGCCACCUGCUCGAUUCGCGGCGCGGCCUCCUUCCGUGCGCCCGGCCGGAGCGCUCAAAGGUGGGGGGCUGCUGGAGCUAUUUGAACUAGGAGGAAGAACCCUAGGGCGAAAUGGUGAGCAGCGGCGACCCCGGAGUAUUUGGCGAGGCAGGCAUCGGGCCGGAGAUCCGCCGCGUCCACGACUGGGUUCCCGAGGGGUAAGUCUCGCCUCUUGUUUAGAUUGAGCUUAGUUGUGCAUUUGAACACUCGAUUCGAGUAGGUUUGCCCAAUUAGUGUGCUGAUUGCGUCUCUGUUUUUCGCCGGUUAGGAUGGAGUUGCGGUUUGCUUUCAUGGUGCACAUUAGAAGGGACCGGUACAUGUUCGAUGCAAAGGAUAAGAAGAAAUACCAAGGAGGUUUUGAUUAUCGGUUGCCAAUGGCUAGUAAUUGGAGUUUCAGACAAAUUGGGGAGGUAAUUUGUAGCCAAUAUCCUUGGGGUUUGCUUGAUGAAGUGGUAUACAAAUACUAUGAUGGGGAAAAGAAUUGGGUGACAGUUAGUAAUGAUGAAGAGCUAGCUACCAUGUUUGUUAGGCAUAAAGAGAAAGAUAAUUUUCAUGUGAGGCUGCAAGUUGAUGUGCUUGAGCAGGCAUUUGGACCUAGGAUGGCGGGUGCAACAUCUCGGGGAGAAUCAAGUCGUCGUAAUGGCAUCUCUAGCCAGAACAGUUCAGUUGGUGCACGGCGACGUGGUGGCUCGACAAGUGUGGGCAACAGCAGUAGGGUCCCCCUUGAAGUGGAGCCUGAUGGCUACAAUUCUGGGGUUGAUGAAGAGAAGUUAUAUUCUGAUGUUAUUCAGAAUUUACGACGGGCACCUCGGGCUGAAAACCAAGAUGAGGCUCACAAUGCAGUCCGUGUGGAUGAUGACGCAAUGGGUGAGGACGAAGACCUUGCAGCUGUUGAAUGGGACCCUUUGAACCCUCAAAUGGAAGAAGGUACAGUUUUUGCAUCCAUGAAUGAGUGUAGAAAUGCACUUGUGACAUACUGCAUCAAGGUAGAACGUACUUUCAAAGUUGACAAGAGCGAUCAAGUACGUUACAGAGUGCACUAUCCUACUGAGGGUUGUCCAUGGAGGCUGCUUGCAGCUAAAAUGCGGAAUAGCACUAAUGUUCAGGUCAAAGUGGAUCCUUUUAAGCACACAUGCCAGGAAUCAACUCUUAGGAAGGAUACAAUCAGUAGAGCCAAGUCAAGAUGGGUGGCAGAAGAAGUAAAAAAGUGGGUGAAAGAAAACCAGCAAGUGGGUCCAAAGGAAUUGCAGAAGAACAUCAAAGAUAAGUUCAAGAUAGAUUUACCAUACAUGAGAUUGUUCAAUGGUAAACAACAUGCUAUGGAUUCUAUUUAUGGUAACUGGCAGGAAAGUUUUCAAUUGUUGUAUUCAUUCAAAGGUGAAGUGGAGAGGACAAGCCCAGGUAGUAUUGUAGAUAUUGAUCACCACACCGUGGAGUACACAUUAAGGGGAGUGACAAAGACCAAGGAAUGCUUUAGAAGGGUUUUUGUCUGCUUUGAGGCUUGUCGCCGGGGUUUUUUGGUAGGCUGCAGGCCUUAUUUGGCUAUUGAUGCCACUUUUCUCACAGGAAGGUUUAAAGGACAGUUAGUUGCAGCUUGUGCAGUUGAUGCACAUAGUUUUGUAUUUCCAGUUGCCUAUGGUGUGCUGGAGACAGAGUCUGAGGAGAGCUGGACUUGGUUUUUGCAUAAUCUCCGCCGGGCUAUUGCACAUCCCAAUGGGUUGGUCAUUCAUACAGAUGCCUGCAAAGGUUUAGAAGUGGCCGUGGACAAUGUGUUCCCUGGAGUAGAGCAUAGGGAAUGCAUGCGUCACCUUGCUGCAAAUUUCAUGAAGAAAUUCAAAGGAAAGGUGUAUACCGACAAUUUAUGGCCAGCAUCUUUGACAUGCAGUGUGAAGAAGCAUAACUACCACUUGAGGCAGUUAUACAUGAAUCCCAAAGUGAAAGAAUACUUGGAAACACACCACUCCAAGUUAUGGGCCAGAAGCCAAUUCAGUGAAGUGAGCAAAGUUGACUAUGUGCACAAUAAUCUAGCAGAGUCUUUCAACUCAACGAUCCGGAAACUAAAGGGUCAUUAUGUGGUGGAUUUGCUUGACAGGAUAAGGAUAUAAUACAUGCAGAAAUUUCAUUAUCGUGCAGGAAUAGCCGAGGCAAAAUUCAUGGGCCACAUUAUCAUCCCUGCCAUGAUGAAUGAACUGAAGCAGAAGACAAUAGGCUUGGAAAUGAACAUGACGCUUUGCUCGGGUACCACAGCAGAGAUAUCAUAUUUGGAUAAAGAGAAGAGGGAAUGGAGAUAUCCAGUGGAUUUAGAAGCUAGAACUUGCAGUUGUAGGCAAUGACAGAUAACUGGGUUGCCAUGCAUUCAUGCCUUAUUUUUCAUCACUUCUCUCCCAGGUCCAGCAGGGAACACACAGCAGUAUGUGCAUGAUUACUACUCUGUUGCAAGGUUCAAAGCCACAUAUGCUUAUGCCUUGCCUGCUAUGGAGGGAAAACAACAAUGGGACAUGGUGGACCCUGGAUUCAAGCUUUGCGCUCCAGUUCUGAAGAGAGCAGCAGGUAGACCAAGGAAGAGUCGAAUAAGACCUUGCAGCGAAGGAGCUGGACUUGGAGCGAGGAAGCGUAAGUGCACAAGAUGUGGUGGGUCUGGUCAUUUCGGUAAGUAUUGUGAUAAUACAGUAGAUCCAGCGUUCGGAGAGAGUUUCGAUGAAGGCUUCGAUGAAAAUGUUGGUCAGCAGCCGGUUGCCUCAACAGAUGAUGAAAAUGUUGGUCAACAGCCGGUUGCCUCAACAGAUGAUGAAAAUGAUGGUCAACAGCCGGUUGCAUCAGAUGAGGAUUUUGACGAGGUUCCAAAUGAUGAUGGUCAACAGCCGCAUGAUUUUGACGAUGAUCCAAAAUAUCCUCCAAAUAAUGAUUCAAGUGAGGCUCCAAAUGGUGAUCCAAGUGAGGCUCUAAAUGGUGAUCAUGGUGAUCCAAGUGAGGCUCCAAAUGAUGAUCCAAGUGAGGCUCCAAAUGGUGACCAACCUUCUGUUGUUGUGAGUUCUGCUAGGUAUGUAAAUCUUGCAAGGGUCAAAUACUACUGUACAUCUAUCACUUGACACGAUCUCAUUACCGUUUAUGUUUGGACCCUUUAUGUUUUGCACAGCUCUAUGGUAGGUUUGAAGAAGACGCGCAAGGUACCGACAACCAAGAGAAGAAGAGAAGAAACAAUGAGCACAAGGUGCACGAGGAGCAAAGUGAUGACAAGAAGCUCAAGGAACAGACAGAAGCCCCAACGCUAUCUAUGAACAAUUAUGAAACAUUAUGAAUAAGGAAUGAUGUUGUAUUAUGAAACAUUUAUCACUUGACAUGUUGUAUUUCUGUUGGAUGAUGUUGGACCUAUGUUAGAAGUAUGUUUGACAUGAUGUUUAAAUAUAUGUUGGAUGAUGUUUGAAUGAGCACAUGGUUUUUCCUUUUUUUGAUUUUUUUGAAUUUUAUUUUGCUCAUUUAAAUUCUGGUCAAACCUAACUUUGACCAAGAUUUAAGCAAGUCUAAAACAUCAAAAUGAAAAACUAAGCCUGGAUACUUCUUAGUCAAUCCAAAAUGAAGUUGUGGUGAGGUUUUUGAAAUUUUCAUGAAAAAUGUGCUAAAAAGAGGGGUCCAAAGGUAGGGUAAACGGCCUCAUUUCUAAGCAAGGUUUUUUUCGACCUUAUCUAAAUCAGUCAAAUAACUUUCCUACACAUAUAUUCUAUAUGUACAGACUAUGUGCGCUGGUUUUUCCAUUUUUUGAUUUUUUUUAAAUUUGUUUUGCUCAUUUGAAUUCUGGUCAAACUUAACUUUGACCAAGAUUUAAACAAGUGUAAAACAUCAAAAUGAAAAACUAAGCCUGGAUCCUUCUUAGUCACUCCAAAAUGAAGCUGUGGUGAGUUUUUUGAAAUUUUCAUGUUCAUUUCCCCAAAACACUUCUCUUCACUUCAUACAAGAGAGUUUGAGAUACUCGAGAUAUCAUACAAUACACAUGAACUUAUCAUUUAAAUGUAUGUAAAGCUUGUUUAUCAACUUAAAUCGUUAGUAUAUGACAUAAGAAGACUAUGUGCGCAGGUUUUUCAUUUUUCUGAUUUUUAUUUAAUUUAUUAUGCUCAUUUGAAAUCUGGUCAAACAUAGCUUUGACUGCUCCAAACCCCUCCCAAACCCCGCUAACCCUAGCGCUGAAUAAGGACCGUUCAUCUAACCCUAGUGGUGAUCAAGGGCCGUCGAUCUAACCCUUCUAGAAGAAAUCUGCGGGGAGGAGGGGGGCGAUCCGCGAGAUGCAAUCUGAUUGGCUGGGAGAUUGUUUUUUUUAACAAAUAUCGGACGCGCUGGAUGGACCGUUGGGCCGUCUCGUUGUCUGGGCCUGAGAUCGCAGUAAAUAGCCCGUCUCAGCCUUUCCAGGCCUUGCAUGCAUGGAGGCGGCUACGUGGGUUUGCGCAUGCGCGGGAGGCGGCGACGUGCAUGCAUGCGAGUGAGGCGAGCUAGGCGAGCUAGGCUAGCGAGGCGAGCUAGGUGGUUCAGGGCAGUGGUUCAGGGCAGCGGUUCACAUGCACUGCCCGGUCAAAGAUGCAUCGUUUUCGUGCAAAAAUGUAAGUGUGCAAAACAUAACGGAUACACACACGCGUCCAGAUUCACGCACGCACCAUUCUCAUCCUUUCUCUCUUCCUCUCCCACCCACAGGCCUAUAAAUGGGGUUCCUCUCUUCCUCUCCCACCUACAAGCCAGAUCCGAUCCUCUCCAACUGCAAACACCCAAGCGACCAAGCCCUCCCCAAGCGAGACCAAGUGAAGAAGAUGUAGUUCAACGGGCCGACCUUCCGCCGUCCGCCUGUGGUGCCGGAGCUGCGCUACCCACCGGGCGUGCUCGUGGAGAGGGAGCUCCGUGUGUGGGCUAUUUCAAGGUGGAGGGGUUUCGUCGAACUCACCCGCGCCUUCCUCAGAGCCGGCUAUGCCCACCUCCUACAGGGCUCAUCGAGGAUGUUCACCCUCAACGAGGUUCGUGACCGCGGCGGCAUCCUCCUACUGCUCACGGUCACCUUCACCAACCCAUUUGACGCGCGCGAGCUCCUCGGCCAAGUCUUUUGGUGCGGCUGCGAGGUCAUCUUCUUCACCAUCUACAACAUCUACACCAACUACAAGCGCAUCUUCCCUGCUCCAGGCCAGAUGCACUCCCUUCCCUACGACGACGAGGAGGAGGUGUGAAGAUGAAGACGGUGUUGAAGGGGCGCGCGCGGCCAAGGUGGAAGAAGGAGGUCAAGAUGAAGAUGUUCAAGCCCGGAGUCAAGCUCAUCAUGUUUGGUUUUUUAUUUUGUUGCUUUUCUAUGUCGUGUCGUGUCGUGUCAUGUUUCAUCAUGUGUCCGUGAACUAUCCGUGAACUUAUCUAAGUUAUUGUAAUGGUACGGUGUGUUCCAUCUUAUUAUGUGUGUUAAAAAAUGUCCGUUCCCAAACUUAUCAUUUCUUCCCUAAACAAGUCAUGAAGUUCGAGAACUUGUGGUUUUCGGAGGGGGUGAGAAGCCCUCUGUUUUAUUCAAACAAAAAGUCAUGAACUAACAUGCAAAUUUAUUCCCUUUAAAUCCUAAACCAAGUGCCACUCUAACCCUAAACCAAGUGCCACUCUGACCAAAAUCAUGUGGUAGUGCAACAUACAUUUUCAACCUUCCAACCCUCCAAAAUUUAAGUGCAAAACAAAGGAAAACCACUCUCACGCGUGUGCAAACAUUCACGGUCUCACUAUUUUUUUUUAAAAUUCACAGUCUCACUAUGUAUACCUUCCUUCCCUACCCAUGUCAAAGUCUUGCCAUCUGUCCUAGCGGUUACCAGCGCAGCCCUAAACACCACAAACCCACGCGGUCCUGGGUUCGAGUCCCCAGCCGCACCAAUUUUUUGUGCAUUUUCCACCCUUCAUUUUUUUAUACAUAUUAUGUUUUCCUCAAUGUAAUGCCCUUAAAAAAUGUUCAUUUAUUUUGGCACCUGGCGUAAACCUCUACCAGAGCUGAGGCACAUUUUCCAUGACAUUUUGGUCUUUGAUUUAAAUCACGGUGUAUUUGAAUUGGAUUAAUUAACAGCUCGAAAAAAUUUCUAACCUUAAUUGUUUGGCUCCGGAAUAAUUCAAUUAGCUUCCACAAAAAGUUUCAGCAUUAUGAUUUACUGCCUAAAUUAAAUCAGAAUAGAAAACAAAAAAAUAUGCAAGAAAACCCCUGAAUGGGCCUAAUUGGAUGCAGUUGGCCCAUUAGUCUAGCCUGCACUUGGCUCUACGCUCUGAAUUUGGCCCAAGAGCAACCUUUUUUCGGACAGAAAGGCAGAGCAGAGAGCUGCAUUUCAUUGAUCAAAAGUUUCUGAAUUCCUAAUUUCUUCUCUUUUUUUUCCAACAUAUUUAAAUGUUGGUCACUUCUUCUCUUUUUGUUUCAACAUUUAAACAACUUUAACCAACAUUUAAACUAGGUGAAUUUCUCAAACAAUUUCAAGAUUACAAAUUCCUUCAUAAUUCAUGCCUUUCCAUACAUUUUCAACAUUACAACCAGUGCGAUUACCAUACCUACAAAUGCCCAAAAGUAUUUGCAAAUGGGUAUUGGUAGUGCUUGAUCUUCAAGCUUCCUAACCUUCUUCUUCAACAUCCUAAGCUCAAUAGCUAGCUCUCUGUCAGUGCGUGCUUCGCCAUCCAUCUCUUCUUCCGGAGCUCGUGGUGUGGCUACUGCCGUUCGUGGCAGCAUGCGCAACCAUUCUUCAUGCUCUUCUUGCAGUUCAUUCAUCAGAGUCUUGGCCAGAGCAUCGACCCAAAGAAAGAAGCAUGUCACCUGCAUGAACACUAAACAGAUCAACCCAUUGCUCAAACAUCCCGACGACGAAAAUGGUGCAAUUGCCCCGAUUCUUACCCCAUUCUCGCUGCACACGUAGAACGGACGAUUCUGGUUCCUCGGUGUCUGAGAAACCCUUCGAUCAACGCCCGCCCGGCACCGCGGACAGACGAAGACAGGCAUGUCCACACGCGCCCGGCUCUGCAUCCGCGAGGUGGCGCGGGAGCUUGAGGAAGACAUGGAGCUCGGAGCCGAAGGGGAUCUCAACGUUGCCGCGCCCUCCACUGCUAGCUUCCCACCGCCGCGCCCUCCACAGCUAGCUUCCCGCCGCCGUGCUCUCUCUCUCGCCGUGGUCACCGCCGUGCUCUCUGUCGCCGUGGUCACCGCCGUUGUCGCCCGCUUAUAUAGCACACCCGCCAACGGCUCUCUGCUCAAUGGCUCUUUGCUGGGUCCCACAAGCCACGCGUGCAACGGACUGAAUAAAAUUGGCCGUUUCUGCCGCCUGGUCCCACCUGUAAGGGCCGAGUCAAAAGGUUGACCUGACGGAGACGGCAGAGUUCACGGAACGAGUCGGUGCGCACGGACUAGGGGCAAAACUGAGCACAAUUCGCAUCUGAGGGCAAAACUGAGCACAUGGACACCACUGAGGGCAAAAGGAUAAUUAACCCUAUAAUUAAAAAUCGUGUGCUCAGAUGGGUUGGCGAUUGGGGUGCCAACACACACGCUUUCAAAACGGUGUGCGGUGAAUGGGCUCGACUAGGUCUGAAAUAAGUGCUACAUUAUAAAAUUACUCAUUUUUUACAAGCAAACAUAGCACCAGACGUAAUUCACAAUUGGACAACCCAUCGCACACUCUACAAUAUUUUGUUCUGCCAUUUCUCUACUAAUGGACAAAAGGCACUCGGCUUACAUCGGUAUGCCAACAUGAUGUACCUUGAGUGCGUUACGCUGAGUGUCAAACCCGCCGAGGCAAAAUCAGCCUUUGCUAGGGGGUCUGCACACCCAAUGGCGGAGCUAUGUUGGGGCCAGGGGGCCACUGCCCCCCAGCCUUUGAUCAAUUCCUGAAGAAAAUUUAUUUAGGGAGGCUUAGAUUAGACUUUUUUUAGCAUUUGGCGCCCCCAAAAACUGAAGAUUUUUGUUUCCCCCCCCAGUGAUCUUCGGCUAGCUCCGCCACUAUGCACACCCAGCUUAAUAUGCUUUCUUGUAGUGGAGAAUUUUCAACGAAUAAUGUAAAAUAGCCGUUGUGUCAAAAAAAUUGACAGUUAGGUCACUUUGGGACAGAAAAAGUAUCCAAAAGAUGCCCUAUAUACCUAUAUGUUGCAAAAGAAAAUUACCCAAAAUUUUGUCACACACAUCUAGCAGCUGCGCUGAAACCAAAAACAAUGCAGCAGGAACCCAACCACUUGCGAUGAGACUACCCCACCGCCGACAGUCGCCACCCCACACCUACUCUGACCGACUGUGCAGCGCAUGCCGCCGCCACGACUCAAUCGGCCGUUCUUAGCCCUGCUACCACCCUGCCGCUCGGGAUGUCCGCUACAAAUCUUGGGUCGGCGCAUCCGAUUCCACCGACUCUGGCCAUAGAAAGUUGGUGGCUACCGGGACAUCCCCCUUCAGUAUUUUGGCUAAUUUUGAACUUUAUGGACGGAUCACUAGAAAAUGUUAAUAUCGUCCAUGUUGCUGAAGGGGAAUUACUACUUGGGGAUUUCCUCACUGAAUAUUGGAAUAUACUUACUUUAUGCAUGCCAUCAAAUAUAGCUCAUCCCCUGAAAGAACAAAGAUUGCUGAUGUUUUUUUCCACGGUUUUCUAAAACAAUGUUGAUCUUUUUCAGAGAAAUGCAAUGAUUAUUUUUAGAGAACAUUCUGCAAAUCAACUAAAUAAGAGUCUAGGCAUUCUUCUUGUUUUUUUCAGGGGGAAGGUGUCUAGACAUUUAUUAACAUGUAGAACUUACAAUGCAUGGGGAAUGAAAGAUCAAAUAUACCUUGCUCUCCUUUCUUAUUUUAGUGGCUGUUAAUGUCAUCAUAAAGAAUAUUACACAUUAGGAUUGAGUUGUUUUGCUCUUCUAUUUUCCAGUAAGCCAUGCGAUAUUUUACAACCCAUCGGACACCCUUAUGGAUCUGAUGCUAUGUAGAUCAAGAUUAUUUCUAAUUACCCGCGAGACACCGACAGAGUAUAUCAUGUGGAAUUUCUUGUUCCUGUGGUUAGGAUGAACCAUUGCAACAUAUCGCAAUAAAUAGCUGGGCAAAAAAAAUAUGAUCAUCACAAUAAUAUUAGGUCUUGGAACCAUGACUUAUUACAUAAUCAGUUUAUUCUCUCUACAUAAAGCAGCGGACUCACAAAGACACAUGCAUAUUGGAUACUACAUUAUAUGGAAGGUGUGCAUGCAUCCGUAACCGAUCACACCCUUAGCUGCACCUGGGGCUCUGCACGAAGUUGCUAACCGGAAAUGACUGGUCGAACGUGGUUGCAUGCUCACUACCAGUAAACCUCAGCUUGUCACCGACGCGUUGAACCGUGUGGAAUGCAAGAAAAUCCCACUCAAACUGGAUCCUCACGCCACCCAGUUGAGUUAUGGAUCCGGGCCGGAUAACACCACUGACUAUGCUGUCAAACCGAAUCUUGUGUGAUCCACCGGCAACCGUAACGUUGAAGUCGCAGGAGGCGGAGUGUCACCUCAACGGCGCCCCCAUGGUUCAUGUAUGACUUCACACCCUGAGGCAGGAGAGCCCGCGGGAAGUUGUUUUUCUCCAAAAGGUCGUCCGCUGUGUCGGAGGUGGCUACUUGGAGGACAGAAGCCAGGAAGACGAUGAGGAGCAGAUGCUGGAUGGCCAUGGCUAACUGUUGCUUAUAAAUUGUAGGAUCGAUAUACGAAAAUGAGGAAUGGGGAAGUGCGUGCAGACUGAG
rnacentral:lncRNA from 1 species